UAGGCGGUUUAUCAAGUCAGAUGUGAAAUCCCCGGGCUUAACCUGGGAACUGCAUUUGAAACUGGUCAACUAGAGUAUGGUAGAGGAAAGUGGAAUUUCUGGUGUAGCGGUGAAAUGCGUAGAUAUCAGAAGGAACAUCAAUGGCGAAGGCAGCUUUCUGGCCCAAUACUGACGCUGAGGUACGAAAGCGUGGGUAGCAAACAGGAUUAGAUACCCUGGUAGUCCACGCCGUAAACGAUGAUAACUAGCCGUUGGGGGGAUUUACCCUUUAGUGGCGAAGCUAACGCGUUAAGUUAUCCGCCUGGGGAGUACGGCCGCAAGGCUAAAACUCAAAGGAAUUGACGGGGACCCGCACAAGCGGUGGAGCAUGUGGUUUAAUUCGAUGCAACGCGAAGAACCUUACCUGGUCUUGACAUCCUGCGAACUUUCUAGAAAUAGAUUGGUGCCUUAGGGAACGCAGUGACAGGUGCUGCAUGGCUGUCGUCAGCUCGUGUCGUGAGAUGUUGGGUUAAGUCCCGUAACGAGCGCAACCCUUAUCCUUAUUUGCCAGCACAUCAUGGUGGGAACUAUAAGGAGACUGCCGGUGAUAAACCGGAGGAAGGCGGGGAUGACGUCAAGUCAUCAUGGCCCUUACGACCAGGGCUACACACGUGCUACAAUGGGAAGGACAAAGAGCCGCGAAGCCGCGAGGUGUAGCUAAUCUCACAAAUCUUUUCGUAGUCCGGAUUGGAGUCUGCAACUCGACUCCAUGAAAGUCGGGAAUCGCUAGUAAUCGUAGAUCAGAACGCUACGGUGAAUACGUUCCCGGGUCUUGUACACACCGCCCGUCAUACCAUGGGAGUGGGUUGCACCAGAAGUGGCUAGUCUAACUUAGUGAGGACGGUCACCACGGUGUGAUUCAUGACUGGGGUAAAGUCGUAACAAGGUA
rnacentral:rRNA from 1 species